rnacentral:rRNA from 1 species
AUUAGAGUUUGAUCCUGGCUCAGAACGAACGCUGGCGGCAGGCCUAACACAUGCAAGUCGAACGGUAGCACAGAGAGCUUGCUCUCGGGUGACGAGUGGCGGACGGGUGAGUAAUGUCUGGGAAACUGCCUGAUGGAGGGGGAUAACUACUGGAAACGGUAGCUAAUACCGCAUAACGUCGCAAGACCAAAGAGGGGGACCUUCGGGCCUCUUGCCAUCAGAUGUGCCCAGAUGGGAUUAGCUAGUAGGUGGGGUAAUGGCUCACCUAGGCGACGAUCCCUAGCUGGUCUGAGAGGAUGACCAGCCACACUGGAACUGAGACACGGUCCAGACUCCUACGGGAGGCAGCAGUGGGGAAUAUUGCACAAUGGGCGCAAGCCUGAUGCAGCCAUGCCGCGUGUAUGAAGAAGGCCUUCGGGUUGUAAAGUACUUUCAGCGGGGAGGAAGGUGUUGCGGUUAAUAACCGCAGCAAUUGACGUUACCCGCAGAAGAAGCACCGGCUAACUCCGUGCCAGCAGCCGCGGUAAUACGGAGGGUGCAAGCGUUAAUCGGAAUUACUGGGCGUAAAGCGCACGCAGGCGGUCUGUCAAGUCGGAUGUGAAAUCCCCGGGCUCAACCUGGGAACUGCAUUCGAAACUGGCAGGCUAGAGUCUUGUAGAGGGGGGUAGAAUUCCAGGUGUAGCGGUGAAAUGCGUAGAGAUCUGGAGGAAUACCGGUGGCGAAGGCGGCCCCCUGGACAAAGACUGACGCUCAGGUGCGAAAGCGUGGGGAGCAAACAGGAUUAGAUACCCUGGUAGUCCACGCCGUAAACGAUGUCGACUUGGAGGUUGUUCCCUUGAGGAGUGGCUUCCGGAGCUAACGCGUUAAGUCGACCGCCUGGGGAGUACGGCCGCAAGGUUAAAACUCAAAUGAAUUGACGGGGGCCCGCACAAGCGGUGGAGCAUGUGGUUUAAUUCGAUGCAACGCGAAGAACCUUACCUACUCUUGACAUCCAGAGAACUUAGCAGAGAUGCUUUGGUGCCUUCGGGAACUCUGAGACAGGUGCUGCAUGGCUGUCGUCAGCUCGUGUUGUGAAAUGUUGGGUUAAGUCCCGCAACGAGCGCAACCCUUAUCCUUUGUUGCCAGCGGUCCGGCCGGGAACUCAAAGGAGACUGCCAGUGAUAAACUGGAGGAAGGUGGGGAUGACGUUAAGUCAUCAUGGCCCUUACGAGUAGGGCUACACACGUGCUACAAUGGCGCAUACAAAGAGAAGCGACCUCGCGAGAGCAAGCGGACCUCAUAAAGUGCGUCGUAGUCCGGAUUGGAGUCUGCAACUCGACUCCAUGAAGUCGGAAUCGCUAGUAAUCGUAGAUCAGAAUGCUACGGUGAAUACGUUCCCGGGCCUUGUACACACCGCCCGUCACACCAUGGGAGUGGGUUGCAAAAGAAGUAGGUAGCUUAACCUUCGGGAGGGCGCUUACCACUUUGUGAUUCAUGACUGGGGUGAAGUCGUAACAAGGUAGCCGUAAAU